GGCGCGGAGCCGCCGCUGGUGCCGCAGCUGCCCAGCCCCGCGCCCUUCGUGGACCACGCGCCCUUCAAGCAGGAGCCCAACAUGAGUCCCGCGCAUGCUUCGCCAGUAAGGAGUGCCGACAUUACUAUGUUAUAGUGGAACAUAGCCUAAGGGUGAGACUAGAUAAGGGAUCGUCCAUCUUUCACGCUUUCUCCUCUAAUAUAAAUGGUACACUGCCAUUUCCUUCUUUAAAAAAGCUCCGCCAAUCUUUUGACACGCUUUGCCAACACAAAUUAGAAGAAUUAGAACGCAAAGAAGAAAGAUAAUUUUAUUUUAAUAAACAUGAUAAAUGGACGAUCUUUUAAGCGUAAUAUCAACCUUUUAUCAACUACGUUGUAUUUUAUAUUUGAGUGUUGUAUUUACUCAAACGCCCCAGAGUUAAGACUAUAUUGACUUUAAGGAGUGCCUUCUAUUAUAAUAAUUGUGUUUGCCAAAUAUAAGGCAAGUUUAAAUAAAGUGGCUGCAUGCAAUUUAAUAUUUUGUAGAUUAUAAUGUUAUGACAGCGGUGCCUGUAAUUCGUAAGGUAAUAUUUACAUUAAAUACGUAGGUGUAGGUUCUGCCAAUUUCCGAGUUAUUUAUACAAUGUUAGAUGUAGGUUUUGGAAUUUUAUAUAUUGUAAGUGCAAUCACUUCCCUCGGCUGUGUAAAGCAUGUUUAGGUAACAUAUCAAGUUAGAACAAAUUGAAAUCAUUGAGUUUUCUUUAAAACUAAACUUUCGUAUAGAUAUUUUUUAUAUAAAUGUUUUAUGUAUUUUUAGUUUUCUGUUCACGUGGUGUGGUAAUUGAAAAGAUAGUCUAAUAAAUGUAAGACUAGUUGGUUACCAAGAGAAAGACAGGGGUCCGGUUAUCCUAUUAUUAAAAUCGUUUGUAAGUAUUUUUACUGAUUCAACGUUGGACUUUUGUCAGGAGUAAAAUAUCUUUUUUAUUCAAAUUUGUGUUAUCAGCACAGCUAUGUUUUGUGGUGCAUAAAUUAUGCAUUUUGUAGUAUAUCUUUUAUUUAGUUAUAAUGAUUAUAAAAUUGUAUUAAUUAACUAAAUGCUCAACCCUUGCUGCUUGUUUUGGAAUUUACCAUUUUGCGGUGAAUGUUUCGUUAGGGAUUAGUGCGAAAACCAAUUAAAAUAGGUGCCUUAUGUCCCUACACUCGGUAGGUUGGUGUAUUGUUGAAUGUACAUACUAUGUUAUGACUUUUUAGUAGAAUAUAUUUUAAUAAAUAAUCUGUUACACAA
rnacentral:lncRNA from 1 species